AAGAGACAGCAGCAGCCGCGGUAAUACGAAGGGGGCUAGCGUUGUUCGGAAUUACUGGGCGUAAAUGGCGCGUAGGCGGCCAUUCAAGUUAGAUGUGAAAGCCCUGGGCUCAACCUAGGAAUUGCAUUUGAUACUGUUUGGCUUGAGUUCGGGAGAGGUGAGUGGAAUUCCCAGUGUAGAGGUGAAAUUCGUAGAUAUUGGGAAGAACACCAGUGGCGAAGGCGGCUCACUGGACCGACACUGACGCUGAGGCGCGAAAGCGUGGGGAGCAAACAGGAUUAGAUACCCCAGUAGUCCCUGUCUCUUAUAC
rnacentral:rRNA from 1 species